GGCAGAGAACGAAAUGCUUCAUUGUAUACACAGAAGCUGCAAAACCUCUGGUAAGAAUGUCUGAACUGAAAAUGUGCACACUUCUGCAAGGCAGUUCUGCAGACAGAACAUCUGAGUCAACAGGUUUUCAAGAAUGGAAACUUUGAGUGCUGUCUUAAUUGUUUAUAUUGCUGCAGCACACUUUAAACAAAAUUGCUUAGCAUUCCCGCACAUACUUAGACUACGAUACGCAGCACUAAACAAUGGCAUUCUUUUCAAACUGGCUCAGUGAUGAGACAAAAUGCUUUUUUUUGACCAAAUAGUUAUUUUUAAAGUUGGUGAUAGCAGAUCAGAAGCCAGCCUGAGGUUUGACAGCUUAAACUACUAUACUUUUUUUUUAGCAGCUAACUUUUCAACUUAACUUGAGCGAGGCACAGACAUUUCAUUUUUAUGAAUGGAAGAUACUGGACUAAGAUUGCAGACACACUCAAUCAAGGCUCUGUCCCAGCUAAGGAAUUCCGUGAUGUUUUUAAUUUUUAAAGGCUUCUCUCUCUGGUGGAGCACACGAGAAGUUAUUUUGAACUUGAGGAUUGAACUUUUAAAUCACCUAUAUUUUAAGAGCUGAGCAGUCCGCUUGUGAAACGGGCAAGGAUGCUGUCACUUAAACACAACUUUGUGGUGGGAUACCGAAACCACUGCCAUGGGGAACAGAAUGCACUGUGGCUGAAAUCUUGCCUACAGCUGUAAGCUGCUUAGCAUUUGCAAGUGCAUAGCAUAUAUUAACUGUUAAAUUGUCAAAGGGGGCAGAAAUGCAUUGUAUGCUACUGCCUGCAUUUAACAGUGGAGGAAUUUAACCCUGUGAGUUCUACAAAGUACUGGGCGCAUCCUUGUGGAAUUUAGCCAGCGAACAUGAUGGACAGUCAGUUACUGAUCCAGGAGUUGGAGACCCCAUGACAACAAUCCAGCAGAGCAUCAGCAAAAAUCCGUUCAGUGAGCACCCUGCCAUCCUGGACAUGAAAAAGGCAAGCUGAAAAAGUUCACCCACAAGCACAAAUGUGUUAUAUCGAGUUAUAUCGAGUCGAACUAUUUCUGUUUCAAAGUUCAAGAAAUGGGAUCAUAUUUCAGACACCAAUCGUCUAGAGGUGAACUCAAACUCGACUAGUCUUCUCAAAACAACUAACAGUUGUACAUUAAGCCAUACAAUGUGAAUAUUGUGUAAUUAAGUUCAGAAGUUUUACUAAUAAUAAAAAAUCAUCUUGGCAAUGAUUUUCCAAUAAAGAUGCCUCCUUCCCAUGGAAAACAUAUCCCCAAUUCCAGCAAGAAUUAAGUAUCUUAUUUGAUAGAAACAUUUAACAAUUAAAACAAGACACCAGUCAGACAAAAAAAAUCACAAAGGGAUAAUAAUUUUGGAAAUUUGAUUUGGGAAUGGGCCACUAAAGCAGAAAUAAAUCCAAGGUUGGUCAAAGGGUAUGGACUCUGGAAAGAAGACAAGAAAGAGGAAAUCAUUUAUUUUUUAAAUUACGCAACUAUGAGCCGUGCAUUAUAUUGUAGAUUAAAUUUU